rnacentral:rRNA from 1 species
GUCCACGCGGUAAACGAUGACGACUAGGUGUGGGGGGGUUCAGUCCCUUCCGUGCCGCAGCUAACGCAUUAAGUCGUCCGCCUGGGGAGUACGGCCGCAAGGUUGAAACUCAAAGGAAUUGACGGGGGCCCGCACAAGCGGUGGAGCAUGUGGUUCAAUUCGAUGCAGAGCGAAGAACCUUACCUGGGCUUGACAUGCUGGAAGUAGGAGCCUGAAAGGGCAACGACCUGUUGAGUCAGGAGCCAGCACAGGUGGUGCAUGGCUGUCGU